GUGAGGAAUAUUGCGCAAUGGAGGCAACUCUGACGCAGCCAUGCCGCGUGCAGGAAGAAGGCGCUACGCGUUGUAAACUGCUUUUAACCGGGAAGAAACCCCAGGACGUGUCCUGGGUUGACGGUACCGGAGGAAUAAGCACCGGCUAACUUCGUGCCAGCAGCCGCGGUAAUACGAAGGGUGCAAGCGUUAUCCGGAUUCAUUGGGUUUAAAGGGUGCGUAGGCGGAGCGUUAAGUCAGUGGUGAAAUCCUGCAGCUUAACUGUAGACUUGCCAUUGAUACUGGCGCUCUUGCGGGCGCUUGAAGGGGGGGGAAUGUGCCGUGUAGCGGUGAGAUGCUUAGAUAUGGCACAGAACACCAAUUGCGAAGGCAGCUCACUAAGGCGAUACUGACGCUGAGGCACGAAAGCGUGGGGAUCGAACAGGAUUAGAAACCCGUGUAGUCC
rnacentral:rRNA from 1 species